UAAAGUUUCCUUGAGAACAAUGUGGUUGAGCAACGCGAACAAAUCAUCAAUGUAAAUUUCAGCGGAUUCGUUACGACGUGUCUCACCACAUCGUUAGUAGGAUUUCAGAA
ensembl:miRNA mir-356.1 miscRNA